UGAAGAGAGAAAAGCCUAGAAUGAGCAUUGAUCUGAAGCUAUUCACGUUACAGAACUCGAGAUAUUGAAGCCCAGCUGAAGCUGCAAUAAGUGCUCAUUACGUUGAUUUUCAGCAAUAUUCAGUGUUCUAAAUGAUCAAUUUGAAAGAGAUUGUUAGGAAAUUCAUCAUCACUUUCACUUGUUUCUAUUCUCUUGUAAAAAUCCAUCUGAUUAUCACAGUAAACAUUACUUUGCAACUAUUUAAUUAAUGAAAAUGCAAAAUUCAUCUAUAUCUUUGACUGAGAAAUAGAAAGGAGAGACAUACCCACAUAGGGGAAGAGGACAGUGU
rnacentral:misc_RNA from 1 species